GUGUCACACUCACUUCAGCAGCACAUAUACUACAAUUGGAAAGAUACAGAGGAGAUUAGCAGGGUCCCUGCAUAAGGAUGACAGGCAAAUCUGUGAAGAGUUCCAUCUUUUU
ensembl:snRNA U6 U6 spliceosomal RNA